rnacentral:rRNA from 1 species
GAUGAACGCUAGCGGCAGGCUUAAUACAUGCAAGUCGAGGGGUAGCAAGAUUGUAGCAAUACAAUUGUUGACGACCGGCAAACGGGUGCGGAACACGUACACAACCUUCCUACAAGUGGGGAAUAGCCCAGAGAAAUUUGGAUUAAUACCCCCGUAACAUAGCGAUGUGGCAUCACAUUGCUAUUAUAGCUUCGGCGCUUGUUGAUGGGUGUGCGGCUGAUUAGAUAGUUGGCGGGGUAACGGCCCACCAAGUCUACGAUCAGUAGCUGAGGUGAGAGCAUGAUCAGCCACACGGGCACUGAGACACGGGCCCGACUCCUACGGGAGGCAGCAGUAAGGAAUAUUGGACAAUGGACGCAAGUCUGAUCCAGCCAUGCCGCGUGAAGGAUUAAGGUCCUCUGGAUUGUAAACUUCUUUUAUAAGGGACGAAAAAAGGUCUUUCUAGAUCGUCUGACGGUACCUUAUGAAUAAGCACCGGCUAACUCCGUGCCAGCAGCCGCCGUAACAC